UUUAAGCGUAGUUAUGAGUUUUUAUGUCCAACUUUGAUCGUCUAUCUUAUUUGAAUUUUUUUAUAAUUAGUAUUUUUAUUGUUAUUAGAUGAUAAAACAUGAAUAGUACUUUAUGCGUGACUUAUGUUUUUAAUUUUUUAAAAAAAAAUUCAAAUAACACGAAUGAUUAAUGUUGGCCACAGAAACUCAUGAGCUGCGUUUAAA
rfam:Oryza glumipatula chromosome 6, whole genome shotgun sequence.